ACAAACCCAUCCAUCCUCUUAGGGAAUUGUCUUCUCGUGUCCACACUGGCCCUAGGCUUGGCCACAUGUGGUUUGGCCACCUGGACAUUGGCACAUAUGAGCAGAGCAGAGGGAAGUAUAAAAAGAGCCCCUGUAUUGGUGCCUGCCUGGGCUGGCCUUCCGGAGGAUGACAGAGCAGAGAUGAGUCAGUCAUCUCUGCCAAGACCCAAACACUUGAGUGAGCUCAGCUGAUGCCUCAUGAGACACAGGAUGCUGUGACCCCAGCCGAAAUGCCAACCGCAGAAAUGCCAGCAAACAAAAGGCUGCCUUUUGAAUCUACUAAGUUUGGGAAAGUGU
rnacentral:lncRNA from 10 species